AAGUCGUAACAAGGCUUCCGUAGGUGAACCUGCGGAAGGAUCAUUAACAAAAUGUCCUUUGACAAGCUUUGCGCCUGGUUCGCCGGGACAGAGUUCAACCUUUUGUGAACCAACACCCUUUUCGCUUCGGCAGCAGGUCGGGCCACGUGCCCGGCCGUCAGCCUGCCGGCAGCACCUAUUUAAACUUGUAUUUAUGAAUUAUGUCUGAAACCAUUCUAAAUCUGAAUGAAAAUUAAAA
rnacentral:misc_RNA from 1 species